GCUGGGCAUGGUGGCGCACGCCUGUAAUCCCAGCACUUUGGGAGGCCGAGGCUGGUGGAUCACCUGAGGUCAGGAGUUUGUGAUAAGCCUGACUAACAUGGUGAAAACCUGUCUCUA
ensembl:misc_RNA Metazoa_SRP Metazoan signal recognition particle RNA